rnacentral:misc_RNA from 1 species
GAGGUCAGACAGCCGGGAG